rnacentral:rRNA from 1 species
GAUGAACGCUGGCGGCGUGCCUAAUACAUGCAAGUCGAGCGGCAGCAUGUCUCUCACCACCUUUCGGUAGUUGUGACCAUUAAAGUUCACAAAUAACUCGGGGAAGUGGUGAGAGAUGAUGGCGAGCGGCGGACGGCAGAGUAACGCGUAGGAACAUACCCCAAACUGAGGGAUAACUGCUCGAAAGAGUAGCUAAUACCGCAUGUGAUCUUCGGAUUAAAGCUUCGGCGGUUUGGGAAUGGCCUGCGUCCGAUUAGCUUGUUGGUGAGGUAAAAGCUCACCAAGGCGACGAUCGGUAGCUGGUCUGAGAGGAUGAUCAGCCUGACUGGAACUGAGAC